AGUGAACGCUGGCGGUAUGCCUAACACAUGCAAGUCGAACGACAGCACAGUAAGAUCUUGUUCUUACGGUUGGCGAGUGGCGGACGGGUGAGGCAUAGAUCAGAAACUACUUUUUCUUGGGGAAUAACGGGGGGAAACUUCCGCUAAUAGCUAAUACUUUCUACGGCUGAGAGCAUAAGAGCUUCGCACCUUUGGCGUCUCAAUUAGACGAUGCCGGAUUAGCUAGUUGGCUGGGUAAAGGCCCACCAAGGCGAGGAUCCGUAGCCGGUCUGAGAGGAUGAUCCGCCACACUGGAACUGAGACACGGUCCAGACUCCUACGGGAGGCAGCAGUAGGGAAUAUUCGACAAUGGGCGCAAGCCUGACCCAGCCAUACCGCGUGAGUGAAGAAGGCCUUCGGAUUGUAAAGCCCUGUUGUUGGGAAAGAAAAGCAGCAGGUUAAUAUCCCGCUGUUCUGACGGUACCCAAAGAAUAAGCCCCGGCUAACUUCGUG
rnacentral:rRNA from 1 species